rnacentral:sRNA from 1 species
UCCAGGUAUGGUGGUGCACACCUGUAAUCCCAACAACUCUAGAGGCUGAGGCAGGAGGAUCACAAGUUUGAGGACAGCCUCAGCCACUUAGAGAGACCCUGUCUCAA